GGAUCAAACUCGGGUCCUUGUGCUUGUGGGGCAGGUGGCAGAACCACUGAGCUAAAUCCGUGGCCCAAUCUUCUUGAUAAAGGUUCAUCUUGGUCUCACAGUCCUGAGCUCCAGAAGAUAGAGCAGAAGUGAACAACAGAUAGAGGGCCUCUCUCAGUCUCCUUGAUGAAAACUGAAGCCCACUGGAAAAGUGAAGAGAAUCUCUGCAAUAAAGGCCCACCAGACCACCGUACUUGAACCAGCAGGAAAAGUAAGGGCCUCCUGGGAUGAUAAAGAUGUGGCCGCUGGCCUCACAGAGCUCCUGAAGCUCACCGAGCUUGGAAUAACUCAUUGACAGAAUCUGACUCUUAUCUCUGGAGGACAUUGUGAGCUGUAGG
rnacentral:lncRNA from 1 species